GACGAACGCUGGCGGCGUGCUUAACACAUGCAAGUCGAACGGUGAAGCGCCUUCCUUUUUGGUGGGUGUGGAUGAGUGGCGAACGGGUGAGUAACACGUGAGUAACCUGCCCCCUUCUUCUGGAUAACCGCAUGAAAGUGUGGCUAAUACGGGAUAUUCUGGGUCUGUCGCAUGAUGGUUCUGGGAAAGAUAUUGUUUCGGUGGGGGAUGGGCUCGCGGCCUAUCAGCUUGUUGGUGGGGUGAUGGCCUACCAAGGCGGUGACGGGUAGCCGGCCUGAGAGGGUGGACGGUCACACUGGGACUGAGACACGGCCCAGACUCCUACGGGAGGCAGCAGUGGGGAAUAUUGUACAAUGGGCGCAAGCCUGAUGCAGCGACGCCGCGUGAGGGAUGGAGGCCUUCGGGUUGUGAACCUCUUUCGCCAGUGAAGCAGGCCUGCCUCGUUUGUGGGUGGGUUGACGGUAGCUGGAUAAGAAGCGCCGGCUAACUACGUG
rnacentral:rRNA from 1 species